UUGUCGACCUUGAUUUUUUAUAAACUAGUUGAUCCAUUAGCUUUUUGAAGAAAUAUUGGAUAAAAUGAUUAAUACUUUCUUUUUAUAUCGUUAUAUAUAGUUCUGUGGUGCCCUGCUAGUUAAUUUACUAUUGAUCAUCGUUGCUGGGGUCUUGGAUGAUUCGACCUAGCUUAUGGACACUGUAUUGCUUGUCUUGUUAAGGUUGUUUUUGGAGGGCUAUAUAUGCCACUUCGUCUAUUGCUGGCCAUUCGCACAUUUAGCAGGGGAAUUUUCACCCUUGUCGAACUUUGGCUAAAAAACAAAACCCAAAGCCGUUUUCAUGUGUAAUGAAGAUGGCUAAGAUGGUUAAUCAAAUGCGUGCUGGGAUGGCGAUCGUGGGCGUCUUGAAGAUAUCCUUAGCAAUAAAUUUUGUGCUUUGUAACCUUCUCAUAGUUUUAAGAUAGGACAAACUAUUUUAAGUUGUAUUUGGGAUUGUUUCUAAAUUCAAAUUAAUAGAACUCAAAUAUAUGAAGUUGUAUGAACUUUCUUGAUACCAGUUUGAAGUUCUGGUAAUCCAACUAUUACAUAAAGCUACAUUUUAUUACUUUUUA